rnacentral:tRNA from 1 species
GCCGGUGUAGCUCAGCGGUAGAGCAGCGGCCUUUUAAGCCGAUGGUCCGGGGUUCGAAUCCCCGCGCCGGCA